ACCUCGGAUCAGGUAGGGAUACCCGCUGAACUUAAGCAUAUCAAUAAGCGGAGGAAAAGAAACCAACAGGGAUUACCUCAGUAACGGCGAGUGAAGCGGUAACAGCUCAAAUUUGAAAGCUGGCUCUUUUAGGGUCCGCGUUGUAAUUUGUAGAAGAUGCUUCGGGUGUGGCCCCGGUCUAAGUUCCUUGGAACAGGACGUCAUAGAGGGUGAGAAUCCCGUAUGUGACUGGGUGCUUUCGCUCAUGUGAAGCUCUUUCGACGAGUCGAGUUGUUUGGGAAUGCAGCUCAAAAUGGGUGGUAAAUUUCAUCUAAAGCUAAAUAUUGGCCAGAGACCGAUAGCGCACAAGUAGAGUGAUCGAAAGAUGAAAAGCACUUUGGAAAGAGAGUUAAACAGUACGUGAAAUUGUUGAAAGGGAAGCGCUUGCAACCAGACUUGCGCGCUGAUGAUCAUCCGGGCUUCUGCCCGGUGCACUCGUCUGCGCUCAGGCCAGCAUCGGUUUCGGUGGUGGGAUAAAGGCCUUGGGAAUGUGGCUCCUCUCGGGGAGUGUUAUAGCCCUCGGUGCAAUGCCGCCAACCGGGACCGAGGACCNC
rnacentral:rRNA from 1 species